rnacentral:rRNA from 1 species
GUUUGAUCAUGGCUCAGAUUGAACGCUGGCGGCAGGCCUAACACAUGCAAGUCGAGCGGUAACAUAAAGAAAGCUUGCUUUCUUUGCUGACGAGCGGCGGACGGGUGAGUAAUGCCUGGGAAUAUGCCUUGAUGUGGGGGAUAACCAUUGGAAACGAUGGCUAAUACCGCAUAAUGCCUACGGGCCAAAGAGGGGGAUCUUCGGACCUCUCGCGUCAAGAUUAGCCCAGGUGGGAUUAGCUAGUUGGUGAGGUAAUGGCUCACCAAGGCGACGAUCCCUAGCUGGUCUGAGAGGAUGAUCAGCCACACUGGAACUGAGACACGGUCCAGACUCCUACGGGAGGCAGCAGUGGGGAAUAUUGCACAAUGGGCGCAAGCCUGAUGCAGCCAUGCCGCGUGUGUGAAGAAGGCCUUCGGGUUGUAAAGCACUUUCAGUCGUGAGGAAGGUAGUUGCGUUAAUAGCGUAAUUAUUUGACGUUAGCGACAGAAGAAGCACCGGCUAACUCCGUGCCAGCAGCCGCGGUAAUACGGAGGGUGCGAGCGUUAAUCGGAAUUACUGGGCGUAAAGCGCAUGCAGGUGGUUUGUUAAGUCAGAUGUGAAAGCCCGGGGCUCAACCUCGGAAUUGCAUUUGAAACUGGCAGACUAGAGUACUGUAGAGGGGGGUAGAAUUUCAGGUGUAGCGGUGAAAUGCGUAGAGAUCUGAAGGAAUACCGGUGGCGAAGGCGGCCCCCUGGACAGAUACUGACACUCAGAUGCGAAAGCGUGGGGAGCAAACAGGAUUAGAUACCCUGGUAGUCCACGCCGUAAACGAUGUCUACUUGGAGGUUGUGGCCUUGAGCCGUGGCUUUCGGAGCUAACGCGUUAAGUAGACCGCCUGGGGAGUACGGUCGCAAGAUUAAAACUCAAAUGAAUUGACGGGGGCCCGCACAAGCGGUGGAGCAUGUGGUUUAAUUCGAUGCAACGCGAAGAACCUUACCUACUCUUGACAUCCAGAGAAGCCAGCGGAGACGCAGGUGUGCCUUCGGGAACUCUGAGACAGGUGCUGCAUGGCUGUCGUCAGCUCGUGUUGUGAAAUGUUGGGUUAAGUCCCGCAACGAGCGCAACCCUUAUCCUUGUUUGCCAGCGAGUAAUGUCGGGAACUCCAGGGAGACUGCCGGUGAUAAACCGGAGGAAGGUGGGGACGACGUCAAGUCAUCAUGGCCCUUACGAGUAGGGCUACACACGUGCUACAAUGGCGCAUACAGAGGGCUGCCAACCAGCGAUGGUGAGCGAAUCCCAAAAAGUGCGUCGUAGUCCGGAUUGGAGUCUGCAACUCGACUCCAUGAAGUCGGAAUCGCUAGUAA